AUAGCGAUUGCUAAUUGUUUUAAAAAAUAAAACAGUAUCGAUUUAAUCGAAUAAAAUUCUGGGUAAAAUUAUGAUAAUGACAUUAUUUACCCAUUAGUCUUGACCAAAUUACGUGCCAGCAGUCGCGGUAAUACGUAGAAGACUAGUGUUAUUCAUCUUUAAUAGGUUUAAAGGGUACCUAGACGGCAUAUUAAGCCUGGGACUGACAUGCUAGAGUUACUUAUGAGGAAGUUUUAAUGUACUAGAGGAUAAGAGAUGAAAUGCUAUGAUACCUUUUUUCUAACGAAAAAUUUCGGCACAGGUAUAGGUGAAGACGUCUUCCUAUGAGAUAACUGACGUUGAGGGACGAAGGCUUUUUAUCGCGAACAGGAUUAGAUACCCUGGUAGUAGAAGCAGAAAAUGAUGAGUGUCAUAUAUUAGAUAAAUAUUUAUUAUAUAAAUGAAAGUGUAAGCACUCCACCUCAAGAGUAAUUUGGCAACAUUGGAACUGAAAUCAUUAGACCGUAUCUGAAACCAGUAGUGAAGUAUGUUAUUUAAUUUGAUAAUCCGCAAAAAACCUUACCACAACUUGAAUGUUUAUAUUAUUAUUAUUACAUUUUGUGUACAGUUGUACAAAAUAUGUUGCUUAUGCAAUCUUAAAUUAUAUAUAUAAAUACAAGUGUUGCACGGGUCUUCAGUUAAUGUCGUCAGACUUUGGUUAGAUCCAUUAAAUUAACGUAAACCCUUACUCUAG
rnacentral:rRNA from 1 species